UACGGGGGGGGCAAGCGUUGUCCGGAUUGACUGGGCGUAAAGCGCACGCAGGCGGUCGCGCGCGUGGGGUGUGAAAUCUGGCCGCUUAACGGCCAGGCGCCAUCCCAUACGGCGCGACUGGAGUGAUGCAGAGGUCGGUGGAAUUGCCGGUGUAGUGGUGAAAUGCGUAGAUAUCGGGAGGAACACCAGUGGCGAAGGCGACUACCUGGCCUGUUCUUGACGCUGAGGCGCGAAAGCUAGGGGAGCAAACGGG
rnacentral:rRNA from 1 species